UACGGAGGGUGCAAGCGUUAAUCGGAAUUACUGGGCGUAAAGCGUGCGCAGGCGGUUUGUUAAGUCUGUUGUGAAACCCCCGAGCUCAACUUGGGAAUUGCAAUGGAUACUGGCAGGCUGGAGUAUGGUAGAGGAAGGUGGAAUUCCCGGUGUAGCAGUGAAAUGCGUAGAGAUCGGGAGGAACACCAGUGGCGAAGGCGGCCUUCUGGACCAAUACUGACGCUCAUGCACGAAAGCGUGGGGAGCAAACAGG
rnacentral:rRNA from 1 species